UACGUAGGGUCCGAGCGUUGUCCGGAAUUAUUGGGCGUAAAGAGCUCGUAGGCGGUGUGUCACGUCGGCCGUGAAAACCUGCAGCUUAACUGUGGGCGUGCGGUCGAUACGGGCAUCACUGGAGUUCGGCAGGGGAGACUGGAAUUCCUGGUGUAGCGGUGAAAUGCGCAGAUAUCAGGAAGAACACCCGUGGCUAAGGCGGCUCUCUAGUACGGUACUGACGCUGAGACGCGAAAGCGUGGGGAGCGAACAGG
rnacentral:rRNA from 1 species